CCCCCAAAACUGCGAAGAGGCGAUUCCAGACCCUCCAUCUGGCUCAACCAGAGGUCACUGAAAUUUGUGUGGGCCAGUACUGGUUCCGACGCCAAAACACCACACUCUUUUUCUUUACGAAGAGGGGCGGAGAUACAGUACAGGCUGUCCGGGAGUUCGGACCCCUGAAUGCCGAAUCCCUCUUUGAAUGACAGUGCGUAACGAGAAGAAGAAAAUUCGGG